GGUAAAAUGCUAUCAAACAGCAUUGCAUACUUCAGAGAAAUCUUUUGUGAAAGGAAGAGUCAAUGGGUAUGACAAACUUCACUGUUAUUUUAAGAAAUGGUCACAGCCACCCCAACCUUCAGCAACCACCACCCUAAUCAGUCAGCAGCCAUCAACAUCAGCAAGACCUUCCUCCAGGAUAAAGAUUAUGACUCGCUGAAGGUUCAGGUGAAUGCAGUGUCAUAUCAACACAAGACAGAAUAAAGACAAAGACUACUCUCUGAUCUCACCUAUGAAAUUAGAUUAAACCACAAAGAGUGUCCCACAAGAACAAUAUACAGGAAGGUUUUUCCCA
rnacentral:lncRNA from 10 species